rnacentral:rRNA from 1 species
AGUGAACGCUGGCGGUAGGCCUAACACAUGCAAGUCGAACGGCAGCACAGUAAGAGCUUGCUCUUACGGGUGGCGAGUGGCGGACGGGUGAGGAAUACAUCGGAAUCUACUUUUUCGUGGGGGAUAACGUAGGGAAACUUACGCUAAUACCGCAUACGACCUACGGGUGAAAGCAGGGGAUCUUCGGACCUUGCGCGAUUGAAUGAGCCGAUGUCGGAUUAGCUAGUUGGCGGGGUAAAGGCCCACCAAGGCGACGAUCCGUAGCUGGUCUGAGAGGAUGAUCAGCCGCACUAGAGCUGAGACACGGUCCAGGCUCCUACGGGAGGCAGCAGUGGGGAAUAUUGGACAAUGGGCGCAAGCCUGAUCCAGCCGUACCGCGUGGGUGAAGAAGGCCUUCGGGUUGUAAAGCCCUUUUGUUGGGAAAGAAAAGCAGCAGGUUAAUACCCCGCUGUUCUGACGGUAACCAAAGAAUAAGCACCGGCUAACUUCGUG